rnacentral:pre_miRNA from 1 species
UCUGGCUGUACUUGCAACUCUGCCUUGGCUUAUGGGAGACGCUCUCUGCCUUAGCUUAUAGCACACUGCCAUAGGCAAAGUAGAGUUGCAAGUCCAGCAAGA